GACGAACGCUGGCGGCGUGCUUAACACAUGCAAGUCGAACGGUAAGGCCCUUCGGGGUACACGAGUGGCGAACGGGUGAGUAACACGUGGGUGAUCUGCCCUGCACUUCGGGAUAAGCCUGGGAAACUGGGUCUAAUACCGGAUAGGACCCUGGGAUGCAUGUCCUGGGGUGGAAAGCUUUUGCGGUGUGGGAUGGGCCCGCGGCCUAUCAGCUUGUUGGUGGGGUGAUGGCCUACCAAGGCGGCGACGGGUAGCCGGCCUGAGAGGGUGACCGGCCACACUGGGACUGAGAUACGGCCCAGACUCCUACGGGAGGCAGCAGUGGGGAAUAUUGCACAAUGGGCGCAAGCCUGAUGCAGCGACGCCGCGUGAGGGAUGACGGCCUUCGGGUUGUAAACCUCUUCCAGCACCGACGAAGCGCAAGUGACGGUAGGUGCAGAAGAAGGACCGGCCAACUACGUGCCAGCAGCCGCGGUAA
rnacentral:rRNA from 1 species